CUGCAUUUAAUCUGAUCACAUCUAAGAACAGAUAGAAAUCAAAAUUAGGACUCACCUGCUCAACAUGUACAGCAUUUGGCCAGGGUCAUCUGCAAAUACCCUGUAGUAACACAAUGAGAAAGGAAGGUCUGUUUGAUACUUCAUCUGGAUAUUUGUAAGAUGAUUGAAAAUCAGCAAGUUGCCUGUGUGUAAAAUAUUAUUAGAUACUCAUACCCAUCUCCCCAGUGAUAAAAUGCCUGGUCCUGGUAGAAAAUACAUAGGAAUAGCCACACGCUUAUGGUCUCCACCCAAAAUAUUACAAAAAGGAACCAUAGUGAGGAGACAAGCAGCUCACACACCAUCCUGGGGCUUCUACAUUGAGACAGAGCAGAGAGGAGAGUUACACCAUAGGGGAACAUACCAACACUACAGUCCUAUGCAGACAAAUAGUGAAGGUACUGGUGGCAGCAACAUGAGAACUGUUAGUCCUGAAGAACGAUAACAAUAUUAAGCAAUGCCAAUUUUAGAUCUGGAUUGCAAACACGGUUUGUUUUUUAUUUGAAAGCAAGGACAUUUCAGGGAUUAUCAACACUAGCACAUGAACUCAAGCCCAAACCAAACAAGCAGUAUGUUGGUCUUUGCAAACUAGCAGAUGUCCUAGCUAAGUAGGGAGGAACGUUGAUCAGCUGUGUUCAGUGAGAGGGUAGCUAGCUGCUAGCUAACUCAAUCUUGGUGACAUGCAUCAUUGCCAGCUAACAAAAAAUAUUGGAAAUAAAGUAUCUUACCUUUAAUCGUGAUGGGAGCAGAUUUAAUGGUAUCCAAGUCCGUGAAUAUCAAUAACAUUCAUGCAGGCAAGAUGUUUAGCUAAACUUGGUUGGUCUAGCUAGCUAACGUUAGCUAUACGCAAUGCUACAUACAGCUAGAUAGCAAUUAGCACCAGCUGACUGAGUUUUUUGUAUUGUUGGCAAGCUAGAACACUUAGCUAGCUUGCUUAAUAACUUAUUUGGGAAGUUAAUAUGAUUUUACUUGAUCAAAUAUAACAUUGUAUCGCUAUUUAGCCAGCUAACAUGCAUGUUUUCAAUAUUCAUGGGUAGCUUUGCCUGCAUACACCAGCAAAGUUACUGCGUUACCAGUGAGUUAUUUCCGGUGUUGUGCCGAAAAGCCCCCUUCGCGUUUUAGGCAGCGUUUCAUGUAUUUUUUUUAUGACGGUUUGAUCGCAGGGAGGCACUAGUAAUGUCUGCAGUUUUCGGUUUGGCUAUUUGUUUCAAGUGUAUUAGUCUAUAAAUAAAUCUCUUUGCCAAAAUUCGUAAUCUCUCCCAUGUCUUAUUCGACGAGUAGUUCUGAAAUGUUUAUUGCUUGCCUACAAACUGAU
ensembl:lncRNA